rnacentral:rRNA from 1 species
GUAGCGGCGAGCGAAGCGGGAAGAGCUCAAAUUUAUAAUCUGGCACCUUCGGUGUCCGAGUUGUAAUCUCUAGAAGUGUUUUCCGCGUUGGACCGCACACAAGUCUGUUGGAAUACAGCGGCAUAGUGGUGAAACCCCCGUAUAUGGUGCGGACGCCCAGCGCUUUGUGAUACACUUUCAAUGAGUCGAGUUGUUUGGGAAUGCAGCUCAAAUUGGGUGGUAAAUUCCAUCUAAAGCUAAAUAUUGGCGAGAGACCGAUAGCGAACAAGUACCGUGAGGGAAAGAUGAAAAGCACUUUGGAAAGAGAGUUAACAGUACGUGAAAUUGUUGGAAGGGAAACGCUUGAAGUCAGACUUGCUUGCCGGAGCUUGCUUCGGUUUGCAGGCCAGCAUCAGUUUUCCGGGGUGGAUAAUGACGGUUUGAAGGUAGCAGUCUCGGCUGUGUUAUAGCUUUCCGUUGGAUACAUCCUGGGGGACUGAGGAACGCAGCGUGCUUUUUGCGAAAGACUCGUCUUUUUCACGCUUAGGAUGCUGGUGGAAUGGCUUUAAACGACCCGU